rnacentral:lncRNA from 1 species
UUUUAUUAUGCAGUUUUAUCUUGAGUCUCUUUAAAAUUGUGCAACUCUCAACUCUCCAAACAAAUGAACAUUUCAUUGCUCUGUAUUCUAAAACAAUUUCUUAAAAACUUGCUUUCUGUCUUUUUCUCAGCUCUCUAUCUCUCAAAAGAUUAAAAAUCAGAAGGUAAAUUGCUUGUGUCCUUUUCAUGCACCCAAUUUCAGCUCAUUUUAAGUGUUUAAUUUACUUAAAUAGCCUUCAAUUCAUCUUGGAACUAUUUCGACUUAGCAAGAAAAUAUAAGAACAUAUACGAUUUACUGCCGUAAUAGCGUCUUGGAGAGGAAUAUUUACCCGCUGGAUCUGACUUGGCUGGGUAGCGGUGAACACACAUCUGGAGUCUAGACUUGGCGGCUCUGUGGGCAGGCUCGCAGCCCAGGGCUCCAUCAGCCCCAGGGCUCCAACACUCCGGCGCCCUGCUCUGUUGACAUAGCUGGUGGGCUGCCUCAUCAGUUUCAGCUGCCUGACCCCCUGGUCCCCCAGCCUCCCCCAUCCCUGCCAUAUCCCAGCUCUGUGCACUUUGGAGAGCCACCAGAGGAGCGCCUCUUCUGCUUCCUUCUGCGAGCCCCCUCUACUCAGGAUGCUUUGCUGGAGAAGAAGGGAAGGAGGAAUCCACGUUAAUGUGAAACCUGCAGACAGUGAUUCUGCUUCAGAGAUAAGGGGUUGCUUUGGAUGGGAGAGGAGCUCUGAUAAAAGCACUAAGCGUAAGAAAGAAAAAAUCUGAUGGGGUAAAACAGAUAUAUACCUUGGAAUAUAUGAUUUGGGUUUAAAUCUUAUACCCAGCUGUUACACCAGAUGUGUGGCCUGGAAAGUCUUUGAGGCUCAAAUUCAUUAUCUAUAAAUUCAGGGGAAGAGUGAUGACCGCAAUAAGUUGUUGGGCAGGAUACAAACCUGAAUAAAGACAAAAGGUCUAGUUCAAUGUCUGCCUUAAAGCGACAAAUAAAAAUCAGUUCCCUUUUUCCUGGUCAAUGUUUCAUUUACACAAGUCAGAGUGAUUCUUUGACCCAAGGCAAGCAAAACAUCCUUGAGAUUUGCUGAAAAUAGAGGGCGCUUGGGGGAAACAUUCAUGUGAAAUGAGAAGUUUUUGAAAAAGAUCCCACAGCAAUAUCUGCUUUUAGAUAGAAGGUAACAGAGACAGAGGCGAUCACAUUCUUGUGGCGGCAGCAUUUCCCAUGUGGGAUCUUGUUUUCUCUUGUCUAUUUUUAUAAAAUGAUACUAGCGUGAGGCUUUGAUAAUGGGUUGGUGACUUCUAUAGAAUGAGGCUGAGCCCCCUGGGAGUUGAGGCUCCCCUGAAACGUCAAUUUUGAGAUUUGAGAGAUUCUUAAUACACAUGCAUUGGUCUAUGCGUUAACAGCAAUGGGUUCUUAGUGUAUUUCCCUCACAAGGAGGCUAAAUCACACUGUUUACAGUUAUUUGCAUAUGUGUCUAAUCAGUUAUAUCUGCAAUAAAAUGAUACCUAAAUCAAUUUCUUGCAAAAAGAAUUAUUUGGAUGUCUACCCAGCAAACAAAAGUGUUUGAGAAAUUAUAAGUUUCUUUUGAAAGUCUAUUUUAUUAUACUGUGGUUGGCAAACCACGGCCUGCAGCCCACAGACAGAAACUGUGGAUCUGCAUCCAAGCCUGAAAUAUGUAUCCUCUGGUUCUUUACAGAAAUGUUUGUUGAUGCUUGUAAUUGUAUAAAUAAAUAACAAUAAAAAGUGUAGUUUUCUCUUUUAAAAUUGGGAAUACCUGUUGGUACUGUGUGACCAUGGUAUUUUCUGGUUUACAAUCCAUCCUGCAUGCUCAUUUUACUACAGUAUUAUGAGUGUGUGGGGGCUGCUGUGACAGAACACCAAUAGACUGCCUGAUGGCUUAAGCAGCAAACGUGUAUUUCUCACAGUUCUGGAGGCUGGACAGU